CCUACGGGAGGCAGCAGUAGGGAAUUUUCCACAAUGGGCGAAAGCCUGAUGGAGCAACGCCGCGUGGGUGAAGAAGGUCUUCGGAUCGUAAAACCCUGUUGUUAGAGAAGAAAGUGCGUGAGAGUAACUGUUCACGUUUCGACGGUAUCUAACCAGAAAGCCACGGCUAACUACGUGCCAGCAGCCGCGGUAAUACGUAGGUGGCAAGCGUUAUCCGGAUUUAUUGGGCGUAAAGGGAACGCAGGCGGUCUUUUAAGUCUGAUGUGAAAGCCGUCGGCUUAACCGGAGUAGUGCAUUGGAAACUGGGAGACUUGAGGGCAGAAGAGGAGAGUGGAACUCCAGGUGUAGCGGUGAAAUGCGUAGAUAUUAGGAAGAACACCGGUGGCGAAGGCGAGUUGCUGGACUGUAACUGACACUGAGGCACGAAAGCGUGGGGAGCAAACAGGAUUAGAUACCCCGGUAGUC
rnacentral:rRNA from 1 species